rnacentral:siRNA from 1 species
UCCACUGAGAUUCAGCCCUUUGUC